UACGUAGGGGGCAAGCGUUAUCCGGAUUUACUGGGUGUAAAGGGAGCGUAGACGGCUUUGCAAGCCAGAUGUGAAAGCCCAGGGCUCAACCUCGGGACUGCAUUUGGAACUGUAUGGCUGGAGUGUCGGAGAGGCAGGCGGAAUUCCUAGUGUAGCGGUGAAAUGCGUAGAUAUUAGGAGGAACACCAGUGGCGAAGGCGGCCUGCUGGACGAUGACUGACGUUGAGGCUCGAAAGCGUGGGGAGCAAACAGG
rnacentral:rRNA from 1 species